rnacentral:rRNA from 1 species
GACGUAGGGUGCAAGCGUUGUCCGGAUUUACUGGGCGUAAAGAGCGCGUAGGCGGCUCGUUAAGUGAGAAGUGAAAGCUGUGGGCUCAACCCACAAACCGCUUUUCAUACUGGCGAGCUGGAGUGAUGCAGAGGUGGAUAGAAUUCCCGGUGUAGCGGUGAAAUGCGUUGAUAUCGGGAGGAACAUCAGUUGCGAAGGCGGCUCUCUGGACCAGCACUGACACUGAGGCACGAAAGCCAGGGGAGCAAACGGG